rnacentral:rRNA from 18 species
GGGGAAUGCCUUGGCUCUCAGAGGCGAAGAAGGACGUGAUAAGCUGCGAAAAGGUUCGGGGAGAAGCAAAUAUUUUGUGAUCCGAACAUAUCCGAAUGGGGAAACCUGUCAUACUGAAGGUAUGACGUCGAAAGACGCAAACUUGCUGAACUGAAACAUCUAAGUAGGCAAAGGAAGAGAAAACAAUAGUGAUUUCCGUAGUAGCGGCGAGCGAAGUGGAAAUAGCCCAAACCAGUUUUGUUUCGGCAAGACUGGGGUUGUAGGACUGAAUACGUUAAAUGAAUUGUUAGUGGAACUAGUUGGAAAUCUAGGCAAUAUGGGUGAUAGCCCCGUACACGAAAACGAUUUAUUUGGCAUCAGUAUCCUGAGUAGGGCGGGACAUGUGAAAUCCUGUCUGAAUCUGCCAGAACCAUCUGGUAAGGCUAAAUACUCUUGAGAGACCGAUAGCGAACUAGUACCGUGAGGGAAAGGUGAAAAGCACCCCGACAAGGGGAGUGAAAGAGUACCUGAAACCGGAUGCCUACAAACAGUCGGAGCGCGCAAGCGUGACGGCGUACCUUUUGUAUAAUGGGUCAACGACUUAAUGUGGCGAGCAAGCUUAAACCGAUAGGUGUAGGCGCAGCGAAAGCGAGUCUGAACAGGGCGUUCAGUUCGUCGCAUUAGACCCGAAACCGAGUGAUCUAGCCAUGAGCAGGCUGAAGGUUGGGUAACACCAACUGAAGGGCCGAACCCGUAUCUGUUGCAAUAGAUUGGGAUGACUUGUGGCUAGGGGUGAAAGGCCAAUCAAACUCGGAAAUAGC